GACGAACGCUGGCGGCGUGCUUAACACAUGCAAGUCGAACGCUGAAGCUUGGUGCUUGCACUGGGUGGAUGAGUGGCGAACGGGUGAGUAAUACGUGAGUAACCUGCCCUUGACUCUGGGAUAAGCCUGGGAAACUGGGUCUAAUACUGGAUAUGACAUGCCACUGCAUGGUGGUGUGUGGAAAGGGUUUUACUGGUUUUGGAUGGGCUCACGGCCUAUCAGCUUGUUGGUGGGGUAAUGGCCUACCAAGGCGACGACGGGUAGCCGGCCUGAGAGGGUGACCGGCCACCCUGGGACUGAGACACGGCCCAGACUCCUACGGGAGGCAGGCGUGGGGAAUAUUGCACAAUGGGCGGAAGCCUGAUGCAGCGACGCCGCGUGAGGGAUGACGGCCUUCGGGUGGGAAACCUCUUUCAGCACGGAAGAAGCGAGAGUGACGGUACGGGCAGAAGAAGCGCCGGCUAACUACGU
rnacentral:rRNA from 1 species